AGCGAACGCUGGCGGCAGGCCUAACACAUGCAAGUCGAACGGAUCCUUCGGGAUUAGUGGCGGACGGGUGAGUAACACGUGGGAACGUGCCCUUUGGUUCGGAACAACUCAGGGAAACUUGAGCUAAUACCGGAUGUGCCCUUCGGGGGAAAGAUUUAUCGCCAUUGGAGCGGCCCGCGUCUGAUUAGCCAGUUGGUGAGGUAACGGCCCACCAAGGCGACGAUCAGUAGCUGGUCUGAGAGGAUGAUCAGCCACACUGGGACUGAGACACGGCCCAGACUCCUACGGGAGGCAGCAGUGGGGAAUCUUGCGCAAUGGGCGAAAGCCUGACGCAGCCAUGCCGCGUGAAUGAUGAAGGUCUUAGGAUUGUAAAAUUCUUUCAGCGGGGACGAUAAUGACGGUACCCGCAGAAGAAGCUCCGGCUAACUUCGUG
rnacentral:rRNA from 1 species